CCUACGGGUGGCAGCAGUGAGGAAUAUUGGUCAAUGGGCGCGAGCCUGAACCAGCCAAGUCGCGUGAGGGAAGACUGCCCUAUGGAUUGUAAACUUCUUUUGUCGGGGAGUAAAACACGCCACGUGUGCCUUUCUGAAAGUACCUUAUGAAAAAGCAUCGGCUAACUCCGUGCCAGCAGCCGCGGUAAUACGGAGGAUCCGAGCGUUAUCCGGAUUUAUUGGGUGUAAAGGGAGCGGAGAUGGGUUGUUAAGUCAGUUGUGAAAGUUUGCGGCUUAACCGGAAUAGUGCAUUUGAUACUGGGAGACUUGAGUACAGUAGAGGUAGGCGGAAUGCGUGGUGUAGCGGUGAAAUGCGUAGAUAUAAGGAAGAACCCCGAUGGCGAAGGCAGCUCUCUGAUCUGUGACUGACGCUGAGGUUCGAAAGCGUGGGUAGCAAACAGGAUUAGAUACCCCAGUAGUC
rnacentral:rRNA from 1 species